rnacentral:rRNA from 1 species
UACGUAGGGGGCAAGCGUUGUCCGGAUUUAUUGGGCGUAAAGAGCGUGUAGGCGGUUUUACAGGUCCGCUGUGAAAACUCGAGGCUCAACCUCGAGCUGUCGGUGGAAACCGUAAGGCUAGAGUCCGGAAGAGGAGAGUGGAAUUCCUGGUGUAGCGGUGAAAUGCGCAGAUAUCAGGAAGAACACCCGUGGCGGAAGGCGGCUCUCUGGGACGGUACUGGACGGCUGAGACGCGAAAGCGUGGGGAGCGAACAGG